GUUUUUUCUUUUUAUUCGACUUCCUUUGAUGAUUGCAACCUUGAUCUAGUUUUGUAGAGAUGUGAGCAAACUAAUAUUGUCUUGAAUUGGGAGAAGUGCCACUUUAUGGUUAAUGAAGGUAUUGUCUUGGGUCAUAAAAAUUAUGAACGAGACAUUGAGGUGGACGAUACGUCUCAAACGUAUCUAUAAUUUUUGAUGGUUUCACGCCGUUAUCUUGUCAACUUUGGAUGUUUUGUUUACCUUUUAUAUCUUUUUGGGACUAACUUAUUAACUCUGUUCCAAGUGCCAGUUCUGUUUUUUCUGUGUUUUUGACUCUUUUCAGAUCUGAUUUUGGAACGGAGUCCAAACGGAA
rnacentral:lncRNA from 1 species